UACAGAGGGUGCAAGCGUUGUUCGGAAUUAUUGGGCGUAAAGCGCGUGUAGGCGGCUUGGCAAGUCGGGUGUGAAAGCCCUCAGCUCAACUGAGGAAGUGCGCCCGAAACUGCUUUGCUUGAGUGCUGGAGAGGGUCGCGGAAUUCCCCAAGUAGAGGUGAAAUUCGUAGAUAUGGGGAGGAACACCGGUGGCGAAGGCGGCGACCUGGACAGUAACUGACGCUGAGACGCGAAAGCGUGGGUAG
rnacentral:rRNA from 1 species